rnacentral:tRNA from 1 species
CGCCGACAUGUCGGACGAGGAGCGGAGCCGCCUCUGGGGCGCUUGGGGUCGUUGUCUCACCGAGCAUGGGGUUCCGGCCCCGCCGGCGG